CCUACGGGAGGCAGCAGUGAGGAAUAUUGGUCAAUGGACGGAAGUCUGAACCAGCCAUGCCGCGUGCAGGAAGACGGCUCUAUGAGUUGUAAACUGCUUUUGUACAAGGGUAAACCUGAAUACGUGUAUUCUGCUGAAAGUACUGUACGAAUAAGGAUCGGCUAACUCCGUGCCAGCAGCCGCGGUAAUACGGAGGAUCCAAGCGUUAUCCGGAUUUAUUGGGUUUAAAGGGUGCGUAGGCGGAUUGAUAAGUUAGAGGUGAAAUGUGCGAGCUUAACUCGGGAACUGCCUUUAAUACUGUUGAUCUAGAGAGUAGGUGCGGUAGGCGGAAUGUAUGGUGUAGCGGUGAAAUGCUUAGAGAUCAUACAGAACACCGAUUGCGAAGGCAGCUUACCAAUCUAUAUCUGACGUUGAGGCACGAAAGCGUGGGGAGCAAACAGGAUUAGAUACCCGAGUAGUC
rnacentral:rRNA from 1 species